rnacentral:rRNA from 1 species
GACGAACCGAGCGAACGUUGUUCGGAAUCACUGGGCUUAAAGGGCGCGUAGGCGGGCUGUCACGUUUGGGGUGAAAUCCCGCGGCUCAACCGUGGAACUGCCUCAAAUACUGACGGUCUCGAGGGAGGUAGGGGCGAGCGGAACUGAUGGUGGAGCGGUGAAAUGCGUUGAUAUCAUCAGGAACUCCGGUGGCGAAGGCGGCUCGCUGGACCUCUUCUGACGCUGAGGCGCGAAAGCCAGGGGAGCAAACGGG